UACGGAGGGUGCAAGCGUUAAUCGGAAUUACUGGGCGUAAAGCGCGCGUAGGCGGCUUGGUCAGUGAGGUGUGAAAGCCCUGGGCUCAACCUGGGAACUGCAUCUCAUACUGCCAGGCUAGAGUAUGAUAGAGGAAGUGGAAUUCCGAGGUGUAGCGGUGAAAUGCGUAGAUAUCUGGAGGAACAUCAGUGGCGAAGGCGACUUCCUGGAUCAAUACUGACGCUGAGGUGCGAAAAGCGUGGGGAGCAAACAGGAUUAAGAUACCCGGGGUAGUCC
rnacentral:rRNA from 1 species